AGUGAACGCUGGCGGUAGGCCUAACACAUGCAAGUCGAACGGCAGCACAGUAAAAGCUUGCUCUUACGGGUGGCGAGUGGCGGACGGGUGAGGAAUACAUCGGAAUCUACUUUUUCGUGGGGGAUAACGUAGGGAAACUUACGCUAAUACCGCAUACGACCUACGGGUGAAAGCAGGGGAUCUUCGGACCUUGCGCGAUUGAAUGAGCCGAUGUCGGAUUAGCUAGUUGGCGGGGUAAAGGCCCACCAAGGCGACGAUCCGUAGCUGGUCUGAGAGGAUGAUCAGCCACACUGGAACUGAGACACGGUCCAGACGCCUACGGGAGGCAGCAGUGGGGAAUAUCGGACGAUGGGCGCAAGCCUGAUCUAGCCAUACCGCGUAGGUGAAGAAGGCCUUCGGGUUGUAAAGCCCUUUUGUUGGGAAAGAAAAGCAGCAGGUUAAUACCCCGCUGUUCUGACGGUACCCAAAGAAUAAGCACCGGCUAACUUCGUG
rnacentral:rRNA from 1 species